AGCCACAGCAAUGCAGAAUCCAAGGUGUGUCUCUGAUCUACACCACAGCUCACAGCAAUGGCGGAUCAUUAACCCACAGAGUAAGGCCAGGGAUUGAAUCCACAACCUCGUGGUUCCUAGUUGGAUUUGUUAACCACCGAGCCGUGACGGGAACUCCUACUUUCUUUUACAAAGACAUCAAUAUUUAUGAUCUCACUGGUUUCACUAAUUCAACUAUCAUUUAGUGAACACCUACCUUGUGACAAGUUAUGCUAUAAGUACUGAAGAUAAAAAAUUAAAUAACACUCUGUCUUUUCCUCACACUAGAUGGUAGGUGCUCUCCUCAGAGCCUGCUGCAUCCCUCAGGGCCCCAGAGAUGCUGAUUUCUGAGUCCUCACUUCCUUAGGAGGGUAAUGCUCCCCUUGCCUUCCUUGCCUUUCAGGAUUAGAAGAUUGAGUUAUGGAGAUCUGAGUUCUGGUCUCUCUGGCAUCAGGCCAUUCUGAAAGGUCCUUUCCUUUCAGGCAGAAAACCGACAAAGUCAGGCACUUUGCUCUGAGGCUUUCAUUUGCGUUUCUAAGUUGAUUGCCUAAAACUCAGACCGCUUUCCCUGUGGGGAGAGGGAUGGACUGGGCUUCUUAAAGUGUGUGUGUGUGUGUGUGUGUGUGUGUGUGUGUGUGUGUGUGUGUGUGUGUGAGAAGAGAGGGCAGAGUGUGGGUGGGGUAAUAGGACCCUGUGUCCUUCUUUGAUGUUGUCCCCUUAGGGAGCCCUUAUUAGAGCCUUCUCUAGCCUUCUUCUCUCUAGUCCCUUGUAACUAGCUUCACCUCUGUCACUUUCUCCUUUCACUCCACUGGCCUCCAAGGUGUUUAGCCAGCCAAGCUUGCUCCCUCCUUAUGGCCUUUAUGUUCUGUGUCCCUUCUGUGUGGGCCACUCUCCCCUGAGUCAUGAGGUUAACCUCUGACUUCCUUCAGGUCUUUACUCACCUUCUCUGUGAGGCCUUCCAUGGCCACUCUUUCAAAACUGUCAGCCUUUCAUCUCGAUGCUCUAUACAUUUCCCUGCUCUACUAUGUCUCCUGAGCACUCGCUAUUGUUUACUUAAUUUCUGCUAGAAACAGAGCGGAAUGGACAAUAAAAGACAGAUAAUCUCCAGGGGAACAUGGAUUUUUGUCUGUUUGUUUCUUUCUUUUUUUUCUUUUUACAGCUGCACCUGUGGCACAUGGAAGAUCCAGGGCUAGGGCCUGAACCAAAGCUGCAGCUGAGCCCUAUGCCACAGCCAUGGCAACAUCUAAAACCUGUGCUGCAGCUUAUGGCAGUGCUGGAUCUUUAACACAGUGAGUGAGGCUAGGGUUCAAACCUGCAUCCUUACAGAGACUGUGCUGGGUCCUUAACUCCCUGAGCCACAAUAGGAACUCCUGUCUGUUUUUUUCAUACUCUGUCUUAUAGAAUAGUUCUUUGUACAUGGUACAUUCUUUAGUAAGUAUUUGUUAAGUGAAUGAAUAAUGACAAAAUUCCCUAAGUCUCAGCUAGACAAAUAGGAAGUAUAAUCUCCUUCAUUUAAAUUGAUCAUAUGAUUUGGACAAUUGGAAUUUCAGUAGAAAUUCUUGACUUUAGAAUUGAAGACUCCCCUAAGCUUGUUGGCUAGUAUAGGGAAUCUUAGUAACAAAGGGCAUAAAGUCACAUAGUUUAUGAUAGUUUUAAUCAUAGUUUAUGAUUUUUUGAAGAUGAAGGAGAUGUGGCAUUUCUUGCAUCACAAUGUUUUGAGCAAAGUGUAGCCAGUUCACCUUGAGUGUGCACAAAAGCCAGCCUUGCCGCCUCCUGCUAGCUUUUGUCGGUGCAAGUAUGCCUGGCAGUUUGACUUGAGAAUGGCAUUAAGGACUUGCCAUGGUGCUGACAUGAGAAGUGAGAAAUGGCAAGUGCAUGGAACUAGCACAGGGAGCAAAGGGUCAGUGUUUCAAUACCAGCCAUGGCUUAGUUGAUAAGAUACUGCAAAUGAGUACUUCAUGUGUGUGUGUGAGUCUCUGUGUGUCACAUAAGAAGCAUAUAUUGUGUUAUGUGCACAAUGGCCAGUGAAUUUGAUGCCUCUGUUAUGGAUGCUAUUGGAUGUGUCAGCACUUCUUCCAUUCCCUUCUGUCUUGAGGUGUGUGGAAAUUUCUCCUGUGCCAUCCUUUACUUUGAUAAAGGAAUUGAAAAUAAGGUCUCCUCUCUUUGCUUUUGACUUCUCCAUUCAUAUAAUUGGUUUUCCUCCUUUGCUCAGUGCUCCCUAUGGUCACAUCAUAUUACAAAUUAUUAUAUAAUAAAAGUUGUUGCCUUGUAUUUUCUUUCCUACCUGUUUCCUACAGAACUUGGGAGAAAUAAAAGGAAUUGACCCAGGUUAAGAUGACAAAAAUAAUUAUCCCUCGUUUAAAAGAAGAAAAGUUUACAUUAAUAGACUAAUUCAAAUUUAUUUAAUUUUGCACAGAAUUAAAAAAAGCAUCUCACUGAAAAGUAACAUGAAAAAGAAUAUUAAAAUUCUUGAUAAGUUAAGGGGUUAGAAACUACCAUUUAUUGACUAUGUAUAGGGUACCAUCUAGAAAUUCAGUAACUGAGCUGAGAAAUUGAUGUUAUCCCAUUUUACAGGGAAAGAAACCAAGCUUCAGGGAUGUUAAUAAAUGCUAAGGACAUAUUAGUAGGAAGUGGGAGAGGCUGGAUUUGUAUUUAGAUGUGUCUGAUUCCAACCAAACUUUACUAUGCUGGUUUCCAACUGUCUUUAAAUUCAGAGUGUUCUUAAAAUUUCAGUACUGUACAUUCUAAAUUGAAAGCACUGUAUUUCAUUUCUAAGUAAGAUCAUCUUUUCCCUUUGCCAGAAAUAAUAUCUUUGAUUGCUCUAGCGCUUGGUUUGUAUGAAUUGCUUUCCUUGUUUUCUCAAUGCCAUGCAGGGAUUUAAAGUUCCUUGCUGUUAAAAACAGAGAUGAGUUACCUCAUUUUUGAAAUUCCUACACUGAGUUUCAAAAGCAAAAACAUGUCAUUAGGAGCUUAGGCUCAGAAUCUGAAUUUCAUCUUCUCUGCUUACUUACUGCAUAAUAGUGGCCACAUUCCUUAAUUAGGCUGUACCUCAAUAUCUCUAUCUGUAAAACAGAGGUAAUAUCAUCAAUAUAAAGAUUAAAAUAGUUAAUGUGUUAAUACAAUUAAAGUGCUUUUAAACAGAGCCUGACACACAAACAUCACCAAUAAAAUUUUUAUUUCUACCCAGGCAUGGCAAUCAUAAAGAGACAAUCAUUUUCAUUUUCUGGAACAUAGGAUAUUAGUUUCCUAAGGAUCCUUUCCUUCCAUGUCUUCCUGUUAACUAUCUGCUAGGGUUAUGCCAGCUGCGCAUGGUGCUUUUUCACUCAAGAGGAAGACAUCUGAAAAUAGGCCUGUCUGUCUCUUUUAUUUUUAAAUUCAUACAUUUGUAAUGAAAAAAGCAAACUGAUCAUCAUUGGAGGAUCUUAGUGGACCAACUCAGUAUUUUGAAAAUUGGUCAGUACAGCAACAUACUAAAGGCCUAUCCUUCAUUUCCUGUGUGGACUGUCCUACUAGAUAAUCAAUAGUAGAAAAGGAAUUAUUUCUUUUCACAGAAGAGUGCAUGGAUCUAGGCAUUGGACAUCAAUACCCCUAAGAUCAAAGAGAGACAUAGAUAGAUAGACAGAUAGAUAGAUAUAUAGAUAGAUAGAUUAUGUGAUUCCAUUUAAUUGAACAUACCAUCAAUAAAGUAGUCUUAUUAAACACUAUAAUUUAUGGAGUUCCCAUUGUGGCUCAGCAAUAACGAACCUGAUUAGUAUCCGUGAGGACAUGGGUUCAGUCCCUAGCCUUGCUCAGUGGGUUAAGGAUCUGAUGCUGCUGUGAGCUGUGGUGUAGGUUGCAGACAUGGUUUAGUGUUGCUUAGGCUGUGGUGUAGGCAGGCAGCUUCAGCUCUGAAUUGACCACUAACGUGGGAACUUCCAUUUGACGUGGGUGCAACCCUGAAAAAAGAAAAGAAAAGGAAAAAAAAAAAAAAGAAAAAAAA
rnacentral:lncRNA from 1 species